AUCAAUCAAAAUAACCACAAUUAGAUAUUUUCCUAAUAUUGUGCAGCCCUACUUGUUAUCAUAUGAAACUAGACGAUCUAAGGAAUCCAUUGAUACCAACCAUGUCACGCUUGUCGAUAAGGGGGUUAAAUAAAAUAACGUACCAAAGUUAGGCCAUUUUGAAAGGAGUCUCUCUCAUCUCAAGCUAUCAGAAUAAAAAUGGAUUUAUCAUGUUUUACACUGUAGCUGUUGCCAUAACUACAGAUUUCAGAUGAUGAUGUCUCAAAAGUAUCCAAGUAGGAGAUUUACAAAUAUAUGUCCAUUGAAAAAUAAUAAGUUGAUUUACAAAUGAUGAAAUACAAGUUACAAAUCAGACGCACGGACACAGAUACGCAUUUAUAGAUUCAAAUCGCUCUGUUUCAAGUAUUCAUUUUGCGAUGAUUUGUUUGUGAUUUCAUGUUUGCACUAAUUUGUAAUAUGAAGGUUAUGAAAAAAAUUAAUAUCUGAGUGUACUGUGGAAAGGAGAUUAAUAUUUUUUAGGGCGGGUAUGACUAACAGUAGAUAUGAUGCUACCUUGGAUGAGUUGAUGGAGAUUUGGCUUUUCUUGGAAAGAGAAUACCAUUGUGAUUAUAUUUAUGUGUAAAAUUGUUCAAUUAAACACGUUUGGCACA